GGAGCCGAAGCUAAGCAGGUUUAGUGAGCUUGUCCAAAGUCCGCCAGAAGUGAAACCCAAAUCCGCUAAAGGUCAAAGUUCAUGCUCUCCGCUGCUCUGCGUCUGCCUUUUCCUUUCUGUUUCUUCAGCACGAGACGAGAGCCUCGCCUGAAGACGUCGCCAGGGCAUCAGGAGGAACUCAGGCUCAAGAGGAGACAGAACCAGUGUUGGAACAGUGAGGAAGACCUCGAGGGAACCUUGAGCUCUUGUUUGCCCAAAUGCAGCCAAACAAAGCUGCUGUAAUGCAUACUGCUUUUAUUCAUCGUGUUAAACAUUUAUAGACUUACUAAACAGAAGACUCAUAAGUGUGAGUUUAGCCUUGUGCCACUUUCCUGGCUUGGGUUAUCAAUUUAACUUAACAUUAUCAACACAGUCUUACGUCUCAAGUAUUAUGGCCUUUUAUACCGAUGACUAUUAAAUUUUAUAUAUACUUCUUUAUUACUUUGGAUAAGCCAGUGCAUUUUCAGUAGAGAAGCUUUGAAUGGAUCUUUUCAGAGUUUUGAGGGUCCACAGGAAAGGAUCUGGACCAGCAGUUACCAACUGGAGGAAAUCUGGUAACGCCACUGUGAAGACAGGCACAGACGAGCGCUGAGACCAACUUGUUCCCAGCCUUAAUGGCCUUCAUUGUCAUUACAACAAAGCAUCCCUUUCUCUCAUUCUAAAUAUGGGGCACCAUUUUAUUCCCAAA